rnacentral:lncRNA from 1 species
UGGGAAAGUCUUGAGAUUAGCGUUGAGCUUCAUUGUUUCUUGGAUGGAGAGGUCAGGCAAGAUCCAGUCUCCAGAUGACGAUGCAAAUGGGCCUGCGUUUCCGAGAAGGCAGUCCACGAGGCCGCGUAGGCCUGUCUUCUGCCAGGACAGGUUGAAAUGGUCGAACCCGAAGUUGUAAUAGGAUUUGAGCCAGGAGAUGUCUAGCCAGUCGUAGAUGAUGGAUCCGAGUCUACAAAUCUGGAGUAGACAUAUGGGUUUGAGGGACUUGCCAUCCUCUGGCCUGAAAUUUGUUAUAUACAUUUUGAGUUAUAACACUCCAUGACUCCAAGGACUCUUAUCUAAGAGAUGACAAGAAGGUAGAGAGUGGCAUGGGCGUUUUUACCCUGAACCAAUGACCGAACCUUGGCUCGAACAGAGAAAACCAAAAUCCGGUCCGAACCGUUACAAGAAGUGUUCGAACAGGACAUAAGAGCUAUGCACUUUCGGGUUUGGGUAUAAGAUCAAACACAACCGAAAUCCAAACUAGGAUCCAAAAGUAUCAAAAAUUAGUUAAAUGUAUUAGGGGUGUUAUUGGUUGUAUAAAUUGAAAUCAACUCCAUUAGAUUUAAAACAUAUCAGAUUUUAAUUAUUAUUUUUUGUUUAUUUCAAAGUAUUUUAGAUAUUUUGGAGUAUUUUAAAGAUUUUUGUAGUUUUGAAUAGUUAAAUAUUUUGAGUAUUUUUGGUCAAUUUUGAUUUAGUUUUUUUUUUUUAGAUUUUUAACGCUUUCAUACGUUGGUUAUAAUCCUAUCUAAAUCGAAUCCGGAAGAAAUUGAAUCCGACCCGAAAAUUACUAAAACCUGAAUGAGACUUAUGAACAUAAUAUUGAAAAUCCAAAAAUCCGCAUCAACCAAACUGAGACCGAACAACCAUGCCUAGAAGAGAGCAAACUCACUGAAUUCCAUCGAGGUAGGUUCUAGUACCCCUAUUUAAUGCUCCUGAUAAGGAUGUUAAACUCAACACCCAGUUCUCAUUUGUGUUCUCAUGACCAUCAAACAUCUGAAAACAACAAAAACACAGGCAAAUCAAUUUCAAACAACACAGCCAGAUAGUAUUUAUUGUGUUAAAUCUACCUUGUCAGCGAGCAUUUGCUGCAACACACGAACAACUUGAGCACCAGCAGAGUGGCCAACAAAGUGAAUAGGAUGAUCUUCAUCCCAUUCUUGAUACUCCCCUGAAGUCUAACAGAUUCAUCGGCACAAAGAGUGAAAACUAAAGCUACCUGAAAAAGAAAAAGAAAAAGACUAAAACCUUUGUCAUAAAAACGACCAAACUGAGAAUGCCCACAAGUUUUACUAUGAUCUUCACCGUAAUCAACUCGUCCACCUUUCAAGUAAUAAAACAACUCUCUCGCCCUAUAACAAAAAAAUCAGUACUCUUCACCCUGAGAUGAUGUAUCAUAACAAAAGGUUGAAACUAUAUCACUUAACCUAUCGUGUACACUCGUCAAAGAACCCAAAUCAGGCACUAACACUCUCUCAUCCUUCUUCUCAGCACCAGCAAAGUAUGAUAAACCACCUAACCUCUGCAAAAUUACAAAACCCCAAUUAACACACCAUUUGCAAUGACAAAGAGAGGAGGUAAAAAGUGUUAACACUUACUCCUUUGCCAAAACCGAAAAUGCCAUGGACUAAAACAAUGGGAGUCAAGUCGUUGACUUGUGCUGUUGUUGUGUUCCCUUGUUUGACUUCAAUGGUGGGCUUGGGCUUGAAGACUGACUCAACCAACGUCUGAGUGAGAUCUCCGGCGAUGGCUGAGCUGAAGAGGUAAAGCCCGAAUAGAAUAUGAACGACGGAGCUUACUAAAAGCUCUGCUAGUUGAAGAGCUGGCGUGAUCAACAACGGAAUCAUCUUUUCUUUAAAGGUCUCGAUCUUUCGUAUUUCUUGAAGAUACCCAGUUAUAAAAAUCUGAUUUUUUUUUUCUUGUUCUUCGGAUAUUCCUAGAAAGUUUGGUUCUGUUAUUUCAAAUAGUGUGAAAGAGAAAAAGGGAAUGUGUCAAGAGAAGUGGCUAUAUGUUGACAGUGAAACAAGAUGACAAAAAAGCCGAAUGACUGUAUGUAUGAACUAAGAGAAGUUUUCUACUUCUUCGUCUCGUUUGCUUUCUAGAAGUGUGUGGAGAAACGAGCUCUCUCUGUGUUUAUGUUUCUCUGACUAAUGUCCAAUGAAAGACUCACACUUCAUUCUCUUCUCUGGGAGAGACGCGUCUGAGAGUCAAGAAAAGCUCCAAAGAAGAAUAACGGACUGUGUUUCGCGCUCUCAUCUAGUAGAAACGGUGCUUGACAGAGCGCAACCACCUGCACCAAUUAGCUGUUAGUGUUACAUUUAAUAGAUUGAAGUCCUCAGAAUUAUAUAUAUAUAUAUAUAUAUAUACCUGGCGAGGAAAAGUGAGAGGCUUCUGUCCUAAAGCAUGAGGGUUCCCAACGUUUGUGAAAAUGAUCUGUUUAUAUGUAAUACUCAAACCCAAAUUAGUCAAGUCCUAAAAGACAUGACUCUGUCUAAACUCUAAAAGGCAGAAGAAAGUGAAUUUACCUUUUUGCCUUCUUUCUGAAGCUCAGAAGCACGGAGAUAGAGCUCACCUCUUACAGCAUACUGACACUUCUUCACGUUUUCAUUCAGUAGAUCGUACUCUAAAGCCAUUUCUCUCUUCUCACACACUUUCAAAGCAAACAAUCUCUACCUCUCUCCCCAGCCUUAUCCAAACAAAAAAGAGGGUUUUGUGAGAAUCUACGGAGUCACAGCAUCAAUUCAAAAUCUACACAACUGAUUCGUAAUCGUACAGAGAAAGGCGAGGCCUUUUCAAAUGGGUAUUGAAAAAGAAGAAGAAAAUGAUCCAAAGGAAACCACAUACCUUCAAAGACUCGAUCUUGUGACUUGUGAGAGCCAAAGCAAGGAGAGUGGGUGAGAGAGCACUAUUGUAUUAAAAAGUGUGCGACUUUUAAAACCAACAAAAAAAAAAAACUUAAUAAAAAAUAAUUGUGUAGCAGAUUACAAAUGUGUGUCUGACAUAGAUUUGGAUCACUCCCCCCUCAGUCCAAUCAUGCGUCAUCUUGUUAACGAAGGAAACAGGAGAGCCACUGAAAGUGGACGGCCACGAUUUAUCAGAUAAAAAGUCGUUAAAUUGACAUAAGUCGUUAUAUUGGUAGAGAAAUAAAAAUGUGGCGGAGAUCACAGAUGUAGAGAUUUUAAAGUUUCGUCAUGUAUCAACUUCUUCUUCAGACAAGUUCCACUUUCGGUUUCACUACCAAUAGGGUAGAGCCACGUCUCCUUCAUUUUUGUGUGUUAUCCAGUCUCUUGACUCCUCAAUACACUCAAAGGCUUAAGCAUGGUUUGUCCUCAAGAAGUGAUUAAUUCAGGGUCUUGAGUGGUAGGUAAUGUGGUACAAGUGUACAACUUAUAACCAUUAAGCGCCACAAUUCUAUCAGUAUGAUCUCUACUGCCAUUUUAUAAUGUUUUGGUGUCACCAAUCAGAUUUAUAAUCAAACUAGAAUUUAUAAGUGAUCUGAUAACCUCAGAGUAUGUGCGUGAGUUAGCUGUCUCAUCUUUUGCCUAACAUCUCUUUGUAAUUCAUCUCUACACUCUUACCUCUUUUAUACCUUCACAUCGCAUUUUAAAUUCUAUUCAACUUCUCAUAACCCAUAUUACAACAAGUAUUAAUUUAUAUGUACCAUUGUCAUCACUGGGCACAACUUCUCAGACUGAAUACAAACAGAAUUGGCAGGGCACUUGCUUGCUCUAAUGUUCCAAGCUUAGUGUAAAUCAAGCAACCUGCUUCAGGACGCAAAAGGAAACAACAACAAAGCGACUUAGAAACGCAAGCUUAUGCUCAAAACAGGCUGAUACACCAACGAGGAGUUUGCCUAGUGAGUAAAAUUCUUAAUUAUUUAGUACGUGUCUAAAAGAUCAUGGGUUCAAAUUCUACUGAGAGGGAUUUCGUAUCCGAAAGAAAGUGAAUUUCAAAUGGUUUAGACCUUGACCUAAGAAAAUGUACGAACCGAGAACUUCAUAGUAAUUGCAGUAAGGUUUAGUGAUAUGCAGCAGGCUGUAACAUCCUGAGUUAGGCUGUAACAUCCUGAGUUGUGAUAUAUGGAAAGAUUUAAAUGAUUGAUUUGGUUAUCUAUGUCACCAAAGUUGACUUACAUUUUCGUCACACAUCCGUUUAGAACUUCAGAGUUAGGCGUGUGCUUGAGAUGAAGUAGUGGAAGGAUGGAUGACCUAUCGGGAAGUGACUCGCGAUACUGUGUGAGUGGGGCCAAAGCACGGAAAAAGUCAUGUGGUGAUUGCAAAGUCAGUAAACAAGACUUUCGGACCUUGAAAAAUUAACACACCGCCCGUCAGAUAGGAUGGAUCCCAUGGGCCGAGUGAACGGACAGGGGUGGUCCAUUAGUCUUGAGUGGUCGGAGCGUUACAGAGGCAUGCAAAGGUUCUGUUGUAACAAACACAUUUUUCUAUGAUCAUGAUGAUGGAACAGCUAUUUUAUAUAAUAAGCCAUUAACAUCAAACGUGAGCUUUAAGGUUUCUGUUGUAACUUGUGUAACAAACAAAGCUAUUAUACACAUUUUGUUCAUCACACUUUUGCCCCUCUCCCUAUUCUUCUUUGUCUUCUCCUAGCUUCCUCUGAUCUUUGUUGGGCAUUGUCUGAGGGCUCUGCCUGAACACAUGUUUCCUGCACCUCUCAAAUAUAUCAUCGUAUAUCAAAUCAAACUCCACUCCUGCUCUCUCUCGAUUCAAAAUGAACAUUAUAUGAUCCGCCUCCACAAUCUUAUAGUACCUGAUGAUACAUUCAAGAAAACUCUUUAAUAAUCAUUAAAUCUUGAAGAGACUAUUAUCAUCAAAAAGAACUAACCAAAUGCCUGGUUGUAGCGGGAGACAAUCUGAGUCACUACGAACAACGAGAUUCGAAUGCUCAACAGGAAUCCGUGGAUGAGUCAUAGAUACAGUGUUCAACGCUCCAUCAUUGUCCUGCCAAUCUUCAUCUCUGUAGCCCUUAUAAGGCAGAGGGAUGUCACGAGGGUAACGCCACUGACUCAUCUGCAAGACCCUAAUGGAAAGCAAAGGAUGUAUACCCAUCACUCCCCCAAGAGGUGGUUUUCUAGUACGCUUAGUCGCGUAGCUGAAGUAGAACGUGUUUGGAAACGUCUUGAGAUUAGCGUUGAGCUUCAUUGUUUCUUGGAUGGAGAGGUCAGGCAAGAUCCAGUCUCCAGAUGACGAUGCAAAUGGGCCUGCGUUUCCGAGAAGGCAGUCCACGAGGCCGCGUAGGCCUGUCUUCUGCCAGGACAGGUUGAAAUGGUCGAAACCGAAGUUGUAAUAGGAUUUGAGCCAGGAGAUGUCUAGCCAGU